rnacentral:rRNA from 1 species
AGGGAAACCGAGUCUUAAUUGGGCGUUAAGUUGCAGGGUAUAGACCCGAAACCCGGUGAUCUAGCCAUGGGCAGGUUGAAGGUUGGGUAACACUAACUGGAGGACCGAACCGACUAAUGUUGAAAAAUUAGCGGAUGACCUGUGGCUGGGGGUGAAAGGCCAAUCAAACCGGGAGAUAGCUGGUUCUCCCCGAAAGCUAUUUAGGUAGCGCCUCGUGAAUUCAUCUCCGGGGGUAGAGCACUGUUUCGGCUAGGGGGCCAUCCCGGCUUACCAACCCGAUGCAAACUGCGAAUACCGGAGAAUGUUAUCACGGGAGACACACGGCGGGUGCUAACGUCCGUCGUGAAGAGGGAAACAACCCAGACCGCCAGCUAAGGUCCCAAAGUCAUGGUUAAGUGGGAAACGAUGUGGGAAGGCCCAGACAGCCAGGAUGUUGGCUUAGAAGCAGCCAUCAUUUAAAGAAAGCGUAAUAGCUCACUGGUCGAGUCGGCCUGCGCGGAAGAUGUAACGGGGCUAAACCAUGCACCGAAGCUGCGGCAGCGACGCUUAUGCGUUGUUGGGUAGGGGAGCGUUCUGUAAGCCUGUGAAGGUGGCCUGUGAGGGUUGCUGGAGGUAUCAGAAGUGCGAAUGCUGACAUAAGUAACGAUAAAGCGGGUGAAAAGCCCGCUCGCCGGAAGACCAAGGGUUCCUGUCCAACGUUAAUCGGGGCAGGGUGAGUCGACCCCUAAGGCGAGGCCGAAAGGCGUAGUCGAUGGGAAACAGGUUAAUAUUCCUGUACUUGGUGUUACUGCGAAGGGGGGACGGAGAAGGCUAUGUUGGCCGGGCGACGGUUGUCCCGGUUUAAGCGUGUAGGUGUGUGUUCCAGGUAAAUCCGGUUCACUUUAACACUGAGGCGUGAUGACGAGGCACUACGGUGCUGAAGCAACAAAUGCCCUGCUUCCAGGAAAAGCCUCUAAGCAUCAGGUAACAUCAAAUCGUACCCCAAACCGACACAGGUGGUCAGGUAGAGAAUACCAAGGCGCUUGA